rnacentral:rRNA from 1 species
AGUGAACGCUGGCGGUAGGCCUAACACAUGCAAGUCGAACGGCAGCACAGUAAGAGCUUGCUCUUACGGGUGGCGAGUGGCGGACGGGUGAGGAAUACAUCGGAAUCUACUUUUUCGUGGGGGAUAACGUAGGGACACUUACGCUAAUACCGCAUACGACCUACGGGUGAAAGCAGGGGAUCUUCGGACCUUGCGCGAUUGAAUGAGCCGAUGUCGGAUUAGCUAGUUGGCGGGGUAAAGGCCCACCAAGGCGACGAUCCGUAGCUGGUCUGAGAGGAUGAUCAGCCACACUGGAACUGAGACACGGUCCAGACUCCUACGGGAGGCAGUAGUGGGGAAUAUUGGACAAUGGGCGCAAGCCUGAUCCAGCCAUACCGCGUGGGUGAAGAAGGCCUUCGGGUUGUAAAGCCCUCUUGUUGGGAAAGAAAAGCAGCAGGUUAAUACCCCGCUGUUCUGACGGUACCCAAAGAAUAAGCACCGGCUAACUUCGUG